CAGGUGCUCAUAAUAGUCAUAUGUGUUAGGGUGUUUUAUUCUUGUCGAAGAUUCGAUUUGAACGAGGUUAACGUAGAAUAUUAACAAACAUAAGGUGUUUAUUUUGUGCAAUUUUAACUUUUGGUCUGUAGUUGGUGAGAAAAGAUAUCUCAACAAAGAUGAGUUACGGUCGAAGAAGGCCUCCAGAAAUAGAUGGUAUGUCAUCUCUUAAAGUAGACAAUUUAACGUAUCGUACAACAGCAGAAGAUCUAAAACGCUUGUUUCAGAAAUAUGGCGAAAUUGGAGACGUAUAUAUACCGCGUCACCCAUAUACUCGUGAUAGUCGUGGUUUUGCUUUUGUUAGGUUUUAUGACAGACGAGAUGCAGAAGAUGCUAUGGAUGCUAUAGGCGGAUAUGUUUUGGAUGGUAGAGAAUUGAGAGUUCAUAUGGCUAAAUAUGGAAGGCCGAGUGAUCCAUGGCGAUGUAGUGGGUCACGCGGAAGCAGAAUGAGGGGCCGAGGACGUUCACGUUCAAGAAGUCGUCGGUCCAGGUCAAGAUCGAAGAGAUCACGUUCCAGGUCUAGAUCAAGAUAUUGUUCACGUCGAUAUAGUUCAAGAUCCAGAAGCACUUCACGAAGUCGUCGUCAGAAGUAUUCGAGUUCAAAGUCCCGGUCCAAAAGCCGUAGCCACAGCAAUGGUAAAUUUUCCCAAAAGAGUGAAAAUGGUCAUAGGAGGAAUCAAAGCAAAAGUGCAAGUCUCAGUCGAAGUAGGAGUCGUAGCCCUGUGCCAGACAAGAAUGAAGAGAAUAAAGAGGAUAACAACAGAAGUGAAGGUAGUAGGAGCCAGUCAAAGAGCCCAGAGAGAGAGAGACUUAAGUUUCGGUCUCGUUCCCGUUCUUGAAAGGGAUGGGUUAUUGUGAAUCAUCAUCAAGGGUUACUUGCAGUUGGAAUGGUCUGGUGGUGACCAGAGGCAGGUUACAUACGCAGUAAUAAGCAGUAGUUGCUGAGAAUGCUGUGGCAGUUGGGUCCAGUGUACCCGAGCUUGCUGUUCCGAUCCUGUUCCCGUUCCAGCAGAUUGCUGUUGGCAACCGCACCUGGCUCAUUCUUGCUAUGCUGAUUGGUUUUGAGGAGACAUACUGCAAGCUGAUUGGUAUAAAGAGCUGAGCUGGGUGGUUAUGCUGAUUGAAGAUUUUAAAACUUCUUGUUUUCCUUAGGAAAUUGGGAUUGAACUUCUGUCAGGAAUACGUUCAGAGAUGAUGAUAGACGAGGCGAAUUGAUGAUAAAAAAUUACAUCAUACAGUGUUUCGGGAAAAGAAUACCAGUGCAGAUGAUAUUACAGGAGUCACUCGGGAUGCUGUUUGAAAAAUGGGAAAUAGAUGUACAGUGGAACAGUGCACAAAGAUUGCUUCGUGUGAUUUUCUUUUCGUUAUACACUAGCAAAUGUUUUGUUGGAACACUGUACAGGUGUCUGUUAGGGAGAUGUCUGUAAGUAAAGCUUGUCUUUCUUUCUACUGUGACAUAACACAAUAGAUAUUUUUAUUUGUAUAUUUCACCAAAUGAAACUGGUUUUAUGUUUUGUGUGUACAUAAAUUACUUUUAUCUUGUUCAUCAGUUGUUGCUAGUCUAGUGGCAGCAUUACACCUGGAAACGACCUCGUAAACAUUUUGUGCUUGUUAUAGUUUUCACGCCAUAACUUUCAAAUUAGUAAGCGUAUGUUCACGAAAUUUGGCAGUUUAUCAGUAAGGUUUUUCAUAUGACAAAAAAAAAAAAAAUAAGUAAUGUAUAAUACUAAAAUAUGAAUUAUAAUCUAAAGUUUGAUACCAAACUUAUUGACAUAAAUUCAUAAAAUAGUAGUUCAAUAAAAUUUUAAACGUGAGGCAACAAAUGCAAUAAUAUGACCUUUGACUCGUGCAGAAAGGGUUAAUUGCACUUUGUACAAACAGUUUGGAUAUGUCACCAUAAAUGAAGGUUGUGACGCGUGUAACGGGUUAUAGCAUAUUUCUGGUGAUUUGACAGUACAGUUGAACCAUGGGUAAACUUGUGCCUGAAUAGUUAUAAAAAAUCCUUUCCAAAAAGAAAUAUUCAUGAGAAGUGUCAUCUUUCCCAAAAGCCUGUUACAGUGGGAAUUGUAGUUUUGGACAAUAGUGCCUAACCAUGGCCAUCAGAUUGACUACAAUCGAUAAUGAAAGAUGUAUUCAGUACGGGAUUCGAAACUUAGUUUUCCAGUAGGAAAAACUCAUCAUAUGUACCCAUUUUAAAUUGCAUUAUUAGUAUAAAUCUUAAGAUAUUUAAACUGGUUUCAUCAGUUGCAGAUUUACAAGUACCUUUUGUGUUAUGUUAUGGACCCCCCCACCCCAAAUAUCAUAGGUGUAUAAUCUACAUUUUUUUGUGCUUUGGCCACCACGUCCAGUAUCGAUGUAGAUAGCCGAUAUAAAUGCUUAGGGGGUAUUUAAGUCACUACACUGCAGAUAAUAAAAUUAAACAAGAAAACAUCAGAUAUAUUGAAUUUACUAACCAAUGAAUGGUAGGUGUAGUGAUGGCCUUUCAUUGAACGUUAAAACAUCAUGUACUUGUGUGUGAGAGAUGUUUCAAACACGCUUGGCCUUUUUUUUCGUUUGUUGAUAAAUGUCUAGUACUGACCACCAGGUGAUGUUAGGCAUGAAGAUGAAACUGGUAUAAAUUUAUGCCACUUUGUAUAUUUAAUACAUAUAUGCACUACCGAAGGAUAAAGAAUACCUCGUAGUGGCUCAGCAUUACGUUGGAGGAUUUCCAACAUUAAAAACUGAGUUUUGAUACCUGUGGUGGGCACAACACAGCCCAUUAUGUUGCUUAUAUGCUUAAUAACAAUGAUUGAAUGAAGGGCAAAAAAAAAUUUUUUUUUGGAAAAUGAAUAUUUUAUCUGGACUACCAUGGAC
rnacentral:misc_RNA from 1 species